rnacentral:misc_RNA from 1 species
UCCGGCUUAACGCCGGCAGUCCUGUUAGAGUGCCCAACUAAAUGCUGGCGACUAACAGCGAGGGUUGCGCUCGUUGCGGGACUUAACCCAACAUUUCACAACACGAGCUGACGACAGCCAUGCAGCACCUGUCACUGAGUUCCCCGAAGGGCACCCCUCCAUCUCUGGAGGGUUCUCAGGAUGUCAAACCUGGGUGAGGUUCUGCGCGUUGCUUCGAAUUAAUCCACAUGCUCCGCCGCUUGUGCGGGCCCCCGUCAAUUCCUUUGAGUUUUAGCCUUGCGGCCGUACUCCCCAGGCGGGGCGCUUAAUGCGUUAGCUGCGGCACAGAGAACCGGAGAGGUCCCCCACACCUAGCGCCCAACGUUUACAGCAUGGACUAC